AUACGCAAAGGAGGAAAUGAAUCUGUAGAGAAGUCAUUUUUGUGACUGUGUGUCAGUACUGCUGAAGUGAGAAGUGUUCAUUUGGCAGCACCAUAACACUAAGAAUGCAUCUCAGGAAGCAGUGAUAAAAAGAGUUUGAGGAACGUUGAAAUAUCCGAGAGAUCCCCGUGGUGGAUCUGAAGCAUGAAGGAUAGAAUUCCAAUUGGAAAUCCAUACGGAGUAAAGCGUAGACAGUUGCAGAGGACGAUGAUACAGCUUUGAAAGUGACAGAUCGAGCACAAGAAGGAAAAAAGAAACCAAUAAGAGCAAAAAGCAUGAACAGCAGUUGACAAGUGCUGGGAAAGGAUGUGGUCCUGAUUUUCAGCCUUAGAACUCAACAUUGUCGAUGCAGCUGCAGUAGGAGCCAGCACAGUUUAAUAGAGCUUACAAACGGUUAUAUAGGAACGCUCUACUUUUGGAUAGCGGGAGACACCCGUAUUGGUUAAGCCACUAAUGGAAUACUGCCUGCAAUUCUGGUCUCCCUGCCUGAGGAAGGAUGUUGUAAAACUUGA